CCUACGGGAGGCAGCAGUAGGGAAUCUUCCACAAUGGGCGAAAGCCUGAUGGAGCAACGCCGCGUGGGUGAAGAAGGUCUUCGGAUCGUUAAACCCUGUUGUUAGAGAAGAAAGUGCGUGAGAGUAACUGUUCACGUUUCGACGGUAUCUAACCAGAAAGCCACGGCUAACUACGUGCCAGCAGCCGCGGUAAUACGUAGGUGGCAAGCGUUAUCCGGAUUUAUUGGGCGUAAAGGGAACGCAGGCGGUCUUUUAAGUCUGAUGUGAAAGCCUUCGGCUUAACCGGAGUAGUGCAUUGGAAACUGGGAGACUUGAGUGCAGAAGAGGAGGGUGGAACUCCAAGUGUAGCGGUGAAAUGCGUAGAUAUAUGGAAGAACACCAGUGGCGAAAGCGGCUCUCUGGUCUGUAACUGACGCUGAGGUUCGAAAGCGUGGGUAGCAAACAGGAUUAGAUACCCCGGUAGUC
rnacentral:rRNA from 1 species